rnacentral:rRNA from 1 species
UUAAAUUUGUAAGGGCGUAUGGUGGAUGCCUUGGCAUUAGAAGCUGAUGAAGGACGUGACUAACUACGAUAUGCUUCGGGGAGAUGUACGUAAUCUUUGAUCCGGAGAUUUCCGAAUGGGGGAACCCACUAGUGGUAAUGCACUAGUAUCGCAUAAUGAAUAUAUAGUUAUGCAGAAAGCAACCCAGUGAACUGAAACAUCUUAGUAACUGGAGGAACAGAAAGAAAAAUCGAUUUCCUUAGUAGUGGCGAGCGAAACGGAAAGAGCCCAAACCGACUUUAGAGUCGGGGUUGUAGGACCUCUCUAUAAGAGUUACAAAUUCAUAACAUAGUUGAACUUUUCUGGAAAGUUAGGCGAAACAAGGUGACAGUCCUGUAAACGAAAUGUUAUGAACUCUUUGAGGUAUCCUGAGUACAACGAGACACGAGAAAUCUUGUUGGAAUCUGCGGGGACCAUCCCGUAAGGCUAAAUACUCUCUAAUGACCGAUAGUGAACAAGUACCGUGAGGGAAAGGUGAAAAGAACCCCGGGAGGGGAGUGAAAUAGAAACUGAAACCGUAUGCUUACAAAAAGUUCGAGCACAUUAAUGUGUGAGAGCGUGCCUUUUGCAGAAUGAACCGGCGAGUUAUUGUAUUAUGCAAGGUUAAGUCGAACAGAUGGAGCCGAAGCGAAAGCGAGUCUGAAUAGGGCGCUUAAGUAUGAUGCAAUAGACCCGAAACCGAGUGAUCUAGCCAUGAGCAGGUUGAAGUUGGGGUAAGACCCAAUGGAGGACCGAACCGAUAUGCCCGGAAACGCGUACGGAUGACUUGUGGUUAGCGGAGAAAUUCCAAACGAACUCGGAGAUAGCUGGUUCUCCCCGAAAUAGGUUUAGGCCUAGCCUUGAUUGAAUCUGCCCGGAGGUAGAGCACUGAAUGUGCGAUGGCGUCGUCUAGAUGUACUGAGUACAAUCAAACUCCGAAUGCUGGGUAGUACUAAUCAGGAGUCACUGUAUGGGUGAUAACGUCCAUACGGGAGAGGAAAAGAAUCCGGAUCGCCAGCUAAGGUCCCAAAAUUUGUGUUAAGUGGGAAAGGAUGUAGAGUUGUCAAAACAGCUAGGAGGUUGGCUUAGAAGCAGCCACCCUUUAAAGAGUGCGUAAUAGCUCACUAGUCGAGUGACACUGCGCCGAAGAUGUACCGGGGCUAAACACAAUACCGAAGCUGCGGACUUGCAUGUAAGUGCAAGUGGUAGGGGAGCGUUCUAAGUGCUGAGAAGGUAGACCGUAAGGACUGCUGGAGCGCUUAGAAGUGAGAAUGCCGGUGUGAGUAACGAAAAUUGGGUGAGAAUCCCAUUCACCGUUUGACUAAGGGUUCCUGGGUAAAGUUCGUCUUCCCAGGGUAAGUCAGGACCUAAGAUGAGGCUGAAAAGCGUAGUCGAUGGACAACAGGUUGAUAUUCCUGUACCACCUAUAUGACUGAAGGAGUGACGGAGAAAGCUAGUGAGAGCCAGUUAAUGGAUUCUGGUCUAAGUGCGUAGGCUAGUAUGUUGGCAAAUCCGCAAUACUAUAACAGCUGAAACAUGAUGGGGAAGAGAGUCUUUGGACAAUCGAACUUUCAUGAUGCUAUGCUUCCAAGAAAAGCUUCUAGGGUUAAUCGUAUAGGUGCCUGUACCGACAACCGACACAGGUGGUCAAGGAGAGUAUCCUAAGGUGAGCGAGAGAACUAUGGUUAAGGAACUCGGCAAAAUGACCCCGUAACUUCGGGAGAAGGGGUGGUCUAGCGAUAGACCCGCAGUGAAUAGGCCCAGGCAACUGUUUACCAAAAACACAGGUCUCUGCUAACACGUAAGUGGAUGUAUAGGGGCUGACGCCUGCCCAGUGCUGGAAGGUUAAAGAGAUUAGUUAGUAUGACGUAAGUCGAUAAUACGAAGCUUUGAACUGAAGCCCCAGUGAACGGCGGCCGUAACUAUAACGGUCCUAAGGUAGCGAAAUUCCUUGUCAGGUAAGUUCUGACCCGC